rnacentral:rRNA from 1 species
GUUUGAUCAUGGCUCAGAACGAACGCUGGCGGCAUGCCUAACACAUGCAAGUCGAACGAGACCUUCGGGUCUAGUGGCGCACGGGUGCGUAACACGUGGGAAUCUGCCCUUCGGUUCGGAAUAACAGAGAGAAAUUUCUGCUAAUACCGGAUAAUGACGCAAGUCCAAAGAUUUAUCGCCGAGGGAUGAGCCCGCGUAGGAUUAGGUAGUUGGUGGGGUAAUGGCCCACCAAGCCGACGAUCCUUAGCUGGUCUGAGAGGAUGAUCAGCCACACUGGGACUGAGACACGGCCCAGACUCCUACGGGAGGCAGCAGUGGGGAAUAUUGGACAAUGGGCGAAAGCCUGAUCCAGCAAUGCCGCGUGAGUGAUGAAGGCCUUAGGGUUGUAAAGCUCUUUUACCAGGGAUGAUAAUGACAGUACCUGGAGAAUAAGCUCCGGCUAACUCCGUGCCAGCAGCCGCGGUAAUACGGAGGGAGCUAGCGUUGUUCGGAAUUACUGGGCGUAAAGCGCACGUAGGCGGCUAUUCAAGUCAGGGGUGAAAGCCCGGGGCUCAACCCCGGAACUGCCUCUGAAACUAGAUAGCUAGAAUCUUGGAGAGGUC